rnacentral:rRNA from 1 species
GAUGAACGCUGGCGGCGUGCCUAAUACAUGCAAGUCGAGCGAACGGACGAGAAGCUUGCUUUUCUGAUGUUAGCGGCGGACGGGUGAGUAACACGUGGAUAACCUACCUAUAAGACUGGGAUAACUUCGGGAAACCGGAGCUAAUACCGGAUAAUAUUUUGAACCGCAUGGUUCAAAAGUGAAAGACGGUCUUGCUGUCACUUAUAGAUGGAUCCGCGCUGCAUUAGCUAGUUGGUAAGGUAACGGCUUACCAAGGCAACGAUGCAUAGCCGACCUGAGAGGGUGAUCGGCCACACUGGAACUGAGACACGGUCCAGACUCCUACGGGAGGCAGCAGUAGGGAAUCUUCCGCAAUGGGCGAAAGCCUGACGGAGCAACGCCUCGUGAGUGAUGAAGGUCUUCGGAUCGUAAAACUCUGUUAUUAGGGAAGAACAUAUGUGUAAGUAACUGUGCACAUCUUGACGGUACCUAAUCAGAAAGCCACGGCUAACUACGUG